UAUUUUUAUUUCCUUUUCUUCCGUGUCACAAAGGGCUAAAAAGAAGCACAGAAUACAGUACAAGCAUAUUUCCCACUUGGCGUUGGUUUCUUGGAAGCCAGAACUACUCCAAGCAGUUUAGCGACCGCAUUGGCCUUCUGUGUCUUUACUGUAGUCGUAGCUGAGCUGAGGAGUUUAUUGCCUUGUUCGUAAUCGUGGGAGCAAAAGUAGUAUACAACGCACCCCCACUUCAAACGACCCAAUCAUUAGCCUCUGAUUUAAUUUCUGGGCAAAUUUCCGACAUGGAAAGCCUCGGCCCUCCGAUGGCCACUCUCAGAGCAAAAUCGAAGCAGGCGUCGCUGCUAUGGCUGGAAGGUCUCCGAGAAGCCUGCUGUCUUCACCGUGUCGUAAUCUACUGUCUUAGGUCGAGGGAGCUUACGAUCCGUACUGGCCAGUGUUUUCUCUUAAAUGGCUUCAUCUUUCUAGGAAGUAUAUUAACACUAAAAGCAGUGAUAAUCCCAGUGCUGCAAUGGAUACUACCCAAUCAGUGCCCAGACAAACAUUCUCUAGAAUCAUGCCCAUUUGGGGGUACUUUGAGAUUUUAUUCCUUCUUACGCCUAGGACUUGUACAGUUCUUCUAUGUAUUCUGGUUCUACCCCCUGUAUAUACUAAGUUAUAUUCUUAGCACCCUAUGGUAUAAUGACAUUGCUAAGUAUGGAUUUUUUGCCAUCACGAACUAUGGCCAUGCUGGUGAAGAAUCAGACAAUGAACUGCAGUCACCAACUCUGCAGAGUAGGAGUCAUGCUGAUAAACCAAUGGACCUCGAGGGGAUUAUGAUUGGCAUAGCUGAACAGGUCUACUCAGUACUCCUAUUAAGUUUCUUCUUCUUCCAGGUUUAUGUUACUGGAUUUAUUCCCUAUAUUGGAAAGGCAAUAAAUUUUUUGCUUCUUUCUUGGAUGUAUGCUUACUAUUGUUUUGACUACAAAUGGAAUCUUUCGGGAUUGAGUCUGGGCAAGAGGCUGGACUUUUUUGAAUCGAACUGGGCAUUUUUUGCUGGUUUUGGAUGCCCUUGUAUUCUAGCUAUAUUCUUUUUCUCUCCUCUGGUUAGCUAUGGAGUUAUGGCUAUACUCUACCCACUUUUUGUUCUCACAGCCACAGGCUCAGAAGCUGACAAAAUUAUUGCUCUUCCAAGAAGACAAUGGGAAGGUUUUGGAUUGGGAAGGCUUCCAAUAUUUUUUGCUGCUGAUUACGCAUCAGAUUUUACAGUUCAAACUUCAAAUAAAGCUGCAAUAUGUGAUAGGUUGCGAGUCCUGUCUUUCUUCCCUAGGAAGUCACAUCAGAAAUAGCUGGACAAGGCACUCUGAGGACCUAACUAAUGUGAUACACAUCUUGAUCAUGCAGGUCUAGUCAGAUAAUGAGGCUUUCACUGAAGCCGUGGAAUUUAUGAGAUGUGUGACAAAUAUAUUGGCAACUUAAAUGUUUGAAGGUACCCACGGCUCUGCCUGAAUAAUGCCCAAAAGGUUAAUAAUGAAGCCCCCCAGAAUUCCUUCUUUAAGCAGUGAAAUGGAUAUAUACAGAUGGUCAAGGGUCAGAUGAAGGCAGACUGACUGCAGGGUAAUAAUAAUAUGUUGGUAAGGAAGUGCUUCUCUAUAUGGACAUCACAUCUGUAGAGUCUUCACAGUGCACUUCUUCUCUUACUAUUUUUGUUUUCAGCAAUUGUACAUAUCUCAAGUCAGAAACAGUUUUAAAAGCUUUAAAUUAGGGUGGUGUUGUAUAAUGUACAAAUUCUAAACCUCCCCAUUUGCCUUUUUAUAAAGACGGGCUUAUCUUAUCUUAUCAAUUGGGGUUUUUUUUUUU